UACCCGGGGAUCCGAUUCCUACGGGAGGCAGCAGCGGGGAAUUGUUCGCAAUGGGCGCAAGCCUGACGACGCAACGCCGCGUGGAGGAUGAAGGCCUUCGGGUCGUAAACUCCUGUUGAUCGGGAAGAAUGGGCUCCGGGUAAAUAUCCUGGAGCAGUGACGGUACCGAUUGAGGAAGCCACGGCUAACUCUGUGCCAGCAGCCGCGGUAAUACAGAGGUGGCAAGCGUUGUUCGGAAUUACUGGGCGUAAAGGGCGCGUAGGUGGCCUUCUUAGUCAGACGUGAAAUCCCCAGGCUUAACCUGGGAACUGCGUCUGAUACUGGAAGGCUCGAGUUCGGGAGAGGAAUGUGGAAUUCCAGGUGUAGCGGUGAAAUGCGUAGAUAUCUGGAGGAACACCGGUGACGAAGGCGGCAUUCUGGACCGAAACUGACACUGAGGCGCGAAAGCCAGGGGAGCAAACGGGAUUAGAUACCCCGGUAGUCCUGGCCCUAAACGAUGAGUGCUUGGUGUGGCGGGUAUCGAUCCCUGCCGUGCCGAAGCUAACGCAUUAAGCGCCCCGCCUGGGGAGUACGGCCGCAAGGCUAAAACUCAAAGGAAUUGACGGGGGCCCGCACAAGCGGCGGAGCAUGUGGCUUAAUUCGACGCAACGCGAAGAACCUUACCAAGGCUUGACAUAUACCGAAAACUCAUAGAGAUAUGGGGUCCGCAAGGGCGGUAUACAGGUGGUGCAUGGUUGUCGUCAGCUCGUGUCGUGAGAUGUUGGGUUAAGUCCCGCAACGAGCGCAACCCCUACUGUGUGUUGUAUCACUCACACGGGACUGCCGAGAGAAACUCGGGGGAAGGCGGGGAUGACGUCAAGUCAGCAUGGCCCUUACGUCCUGGGCUACACCCACGCUACAAUGGCCGGUACAACGGGCUGCGAAACCGCGAGGUGGAGCGAAUCCCUUAAAGCCGGUCUCAGUUCGGAUUGUAGGCUGCAACUCGCCUACAUGAAGCCGGAGUUGCUAGUAACCGCCGGUCAGCAUACGGCGAUGAAUAUGUUCCCGGGCCUUGUACACACCGCC
rnacentral:rRNA from 1 species